rnacentral:lncRNA from 1 species
AUCUUAACAUAUAAAAGUCUAUUCACUCUGGGUUGGCGGACUAGAGAAGGAGCAAAGAUGGCAGAGUGAGGUGUGCCUGGGCUGGUCACCGGGGGCCCCAGGCAGGCCUCGCUCAAGAGUCAAGGUGCUUCUGCUGGACCAUGUGAGGAACCUUAACACACAGGAUGAAUAUUUUCAUGACCUUAGGUGCUUUUACAUUCAUCUCAGAAUUCAGCACUCAGGACUUGGCGGCAAGAAUAUCUAUGUUGUCUUCUCAGUGGGGCAUCCUGGUUCUUUCAUACGGCCACUUUCCUUGGUGAAAUGCGGAUGGCUUUCUACAGGGGCCUCCAUGGUUUGGAAUGGAGAGGCUGCUUUCCUUUAUUCCACCUGAGACUCGGCACAGAGAAGCCGGAGAAUGCAACUGUCUGCUGACUUCAGGAAGAAAAAAACCAACUGGCAAGGGUCUUCUGCUGCAGUUUGCUUCAUUAGAAAGACACUGUUUGCAACUGGAAGGAAGAUGUUUAAUUUGAAACAGGAAGGACCAGCUAUCCUGCAGCUAAUUCAAAGUGGGAAGAGAACAGGCUGGGCUGAUGCUUGCCUCAAACUGCCAGUGAAGAUCAGAAGUUCAGGUUCAGCUUGAGCUACAUGGUAAAACUAUCUCAAAAACAGCAGAAAAUGAAAACAAACAAACAAAAAAAAUGAGCCCAGUAACACCACUCUUGUUUUUCAAGAUUUUUUUUUUUUUUUUUUUUUUGUGGAAUCAAAUAUAGUACAUGAGACUUUGGUAUUAUUCCAUGUGGCUGUGGCUGGAAUGAAAGUAGAAUAUGUGUU